CUGCUAAUACCGCAUAAGCGCACAGUUCCGCAUGGAACAGUGUGAAAAACUCCGGUGGUGUGAGAUGGACCCGCGUCUGAUUAGCCAGUUGGCGGGGUAACGGCCCACCAAAGCGACGAUCAGUAGCCGGCCUGAGAGGGUGAACGGCCACAUUGGGACUGAGACACGGCCCAAACUCCUACGGGAGGCAGCAUG
rnacentral:rRNA from 1 species